rnacentral:rRNA from 1 species
UACGGAGGGUGCGAGCGUUGUCCGGAUUCACUGGGCGUAAAGGGCGCGUAGGCGGCCGUGUACGUCCCUUGUGAAAUCCCGGGGCUCAACUCCGGGGCUGCAGGUGAGACUGCGUGGCUAGAGCACGGUAGAGGCGAGUGGAAUUCCCGGUGUAGCGGUGGAAUGCGUAGAUAUCGGGAAGAACACCGGUGGCGAAGGCGGCUCGCUGGGCCGUUGCUGACGCUGAGGCGCGAAAGCGUGGGGAGCAAACAGG